rnacentral:rRNA from 1 species
AUGGUUACAUUCACUGGACAUGACGUUCGGGCAACGCUUUCCCACUCCACGCAUGAGCACGGGCUUAAGCUGGUAGCCAUGGACAAGCUGUUCCAGUGCGACGGCUGCAGGCAGAUCGGCGACGAGCUCAGAUUCCGGUGCGAGCAAUGCGACUUCGACCUCCACAUAUGCUGCGCUCAAUCGCCCACGCGCGUCGAGCCCUCUAUGUUCGAGGGCCGUGCGCUCACCCUUUUCCAGAGCCGCCCGGCGAGCGCGAACAACCCAGGCGGUGUUAUUCCGAUCUGCGAUGUCUGCGGCGACCCGGUGUGCGGCUUCCUGUACCACAACCGCGAGCACGACCUCGACCUCCACCCUAUGUGCGCAUUCCUGCCGAAGCGCGUGCGCGUCGAGGAGCAUGAACUCGAACUCCACCAGGCCGCCGGCCAUAACUGCGGGUUGUGCGGGAAGGAUGGGUACCUCGGCAAGUACAUGGCAUACCGAUUCCAGGACGACGACGGUCAGCUUGCGUACGUUCACGUGGUGUGCUUGAUGGAGGCGAGCUACUCCAGCGACGGUCACGUCGUGCAGGGGACCUCCACCACGACAGGGGAGCUGGCAACGCUGCAGAAUGCGCCCAGGCGGUCCGGCGGGUUCAGGCGUUUCUGCAAAGUCGCCUUCCGCAUCGUGCGGGUCAGCUACUCAGUCGCCACUCUGGACCCCGUGGGAGUUUUCACAGCGAUUGCAAGCUGA